AUUGAACGCUGGCGGCAGGCCUAACACAUGCAAGUCGAACGAGUGGCGGACGGGUGAGUAAUGUCUGGGACACUGCCUGAUGGAGGGGGAUCACUACUGGAAACGGUUGCUACUACCGUAUACAUUCAGAUGUGCCCAGAUGGGUUUGGCUUGUUGGUGGGGGAACGGCUCACCACGGCGCCGAUCCCUAGCUGGUCUGAGAGGAUGACCAGCAACACUGGAACUGAGACACGGUCCAGACUCCUACGGGAGGAAGCAGUGGGGAAUAUUGGACAAUGGGCGCAAGCCUGAUGCAGCCAUGCCGCGUGUGUGAAGAAGGCCUUCGGGUUGUAAAGUACUUUAAGCGGGGAGGCGUUACCCGCAGAAGAAGCACCGGCUAACUCCGUGCCAGCAGCCGCGGUAAUUC
rnacentral:rRNA from 1 species